AAAAUCCUGCGGUGUACGUACUUAUUUAUGUCUAAAACCGAUGAUAGUAAUAUGGAAGCUCAAUAUUUAGUAGCCGACAUCAUGCCUUCCGCUGAGGAGGAAGAUGAAGGCAGCUGUGAGGGCAUCCACCUGCGAGUAGCGGGUUUUUGGACAUUUACGAGUGGCGGCACAUGCGGGGAUUUA
rnacentral:other from 1 species